UGGAAGCCAAUCGCUUAGAGACAAACCAUGUAUAAAAGCAGAAGCGCUUGCACGUUUGUUCCCUUUUCACUGAGAAUCUUCUAGGAGGAGGAAGAAAGCGAGUCUGCAUUGUUGCCUGCAUUAACUGCUCCUGACUCGUCAACCAUGGAUCUGUUCACAGGAUGGAGGUCAGUUUCUGUAUGAAAGCCAUUCAUCCUCUACAGGCUCCUAUCGAAGCCGUUCAUGCUCUUCUGUAGCAGCGAUCGGUCAAACGGAAGCCGAGAUGAAGCCUUUCACCGACGGUCGCUGUUCAGUUUAAAAGUUUCAGCCUAUGAUGAUGAUGAGGAUGAUGAUGAUGCAGGAGCAGAACAGGCUUGAAGAUGAUGGACACGGCUGAUGAAUGUCAUUGGAUGGAGUUGAAAUCCAGAAGUACAACCUCUGGUGGCAUCCCAGUUGGCUGGGACAUGGGAGCUACAUGUGUCCUAUAAAGGUGUUGGAGUCUGACGUCCUCCAUGGUGACCUGCUCCAUGCCGUGUUCAGAGAAAUUGCUAAUGAAGUGGAUUUUCUUUAUAUCUAGUAUAUAAAGAAUGUAUUAAAUGAACUCUUAAGACCUUGAGUUGAGUUGCUGUAAAAUGUUUCAUAAAGUAAACUAACUUGUCAACUUGUUGGGGCUGGAAUAAAACGAAUGAAAACACAA